rnacentral:rRNA from 1 species
GAUUAACGCGAAGAACCUUACCUGGUCUUGACAUCCACGGAAGUUUUCAGAGAUGAGAAUGUGCCUUCGGGAACCGUGAGACAGGUGCUGCAUGGCUGUCGUCAGCUCGUGUUGUGAAAUGUUGGGUUAAGUCCCGCAACGAGCGCAACCCUUAUCCUUUGUUGCCAGCGGUCCGGCCGGGAACUCAAAGGAGACUGCCAGUGAUAAACUGGAGGAAGGUGGGGAUGACGUCAAGUCAUCAUGGCCCUUACGACCAGGGCUACACACGUGCUACAAUGGCGCAUACAAAGAGAAGCGACCUCGCGAGAGCAAGCGGACCUCAUAAAGUGCGUCGUAGUCCGGAUUGGAGUCUGCAACUCAACUCCAUGAAGUCGGAAUCGCUAGUAAUCGUGGAUCAGAAUGCCACGGUGAAUACGUUCCCGGGCCUUGUACACACCGAAUCACUAGU